GAUGAACGCUAGCGGCAGGCUUAAUACAUGCAAGUCGAGGGGCAGCAGGGGUGUAGCAAUACACUCGCUGGCGACCGGCAAACGGGUGCGGAACACGUACGCAACCUACCCAAAACUGAUGAAUAGCCCUCCGAAAGGAGGAUUAAUACAUCGUAACAUAAUGAAGUGGCAUCACUUUAUUAUUAUAGCUCCGGCGGUUUUGGAUGGGCGUGCGCCUGAUUAGAUAGUUGGCGGGGUAACGGCCCACCAAGUCUGCGAUCAGUAACUGGUGUGAGAGCACGACCAGUCACACGGGCACUGAGACACGGGCCCGACUCCUACGGGAGGCAGCAGUAAGGAAUAUUGGUCAAUGGACGCAAGUCUGAACCAGCCAUGCCGCGUGAAGGAUGAAGGUCCUCUGGAUUGUAAACUUCUUUUAUAUGGGACGAAACCCUCGAAUUCUUUCGGGAUUGACGGUACCAUAAGGAAUAAGCACCGGCUAACUCCGUGCCAGCCG
rnacentral:rRNA from 1 species